rnacentral:rRNA from 1 species
GACGGGGGGGCAAGUGUUCUUCGGAAUGACUGGGCGUAAAGGGCACGUAGGCGGUGAAUCGGGUUGAAAGUGAAAGUCGCCAAAAAGUGGCGGAAUGCUCUCGAAACCAAUUCACUUGAGUGAGACAGAGGAGAGUGGAAGUUUCGUGUGUAGGGGUGAAAUCGAUAAUAUACGAAGGAACGCCAAAAGCGGAACGGCAGCUCUCUGGGUCCCUACCCGACGGCUGGGGAUGCGAAAGCAUGGGGAGCAAACGGG